ensembl:lncRNA
AAAUGUGUGUACUUGUAAUAGGAAUGUGCUUUGACAAUUAGAUAUCUUUAAACAAAGACAGGCAUUAUCUCAUUUGUUUUGCCUAAUCUUGAUCUCUUCUUAAAACAGGUCAACAUCUAGCAGAGAAUAUCCAUGGCAGCUAUCAUAAUAAAUUCUCUCCUAAAACAGUGAGGCAGACUUCAAGACCUGCUCUGAAUCUGGAUAAAAGCAGGAGACAACAACAGCCAACAAUGGACUGUAGCAGGGAAAGGCAAGAUUGGUCUCCUCAGCCUUUGGUGACCUACUCUGGGGAGCAUGGUGGUAAAUUGGAUGCAGGGGAAGAUUGGCAAACUCACAGGAAUCAGAACAGCUAAAUGGGAACUUCCUGAAAUGAAAUGCUUCUCUGGCACCUCCAACAGCUAGAAGACAGGGUGGAAAAUUGACAUCUUCUCUAAGUAUGAAAAGGGCAUCAAACUACAUGAAGUAUCAGUCCUGGCUGCAGCUCUGCACCCAGGACACAGGGAGACAAGACAUAAGAAGACGGCUGUGCCCCUCAUGCCUCCCAAGACAGUAGCUCCUAUCUGUGCUGAGCCUUGGAGCUCUCUCCCCUCUGUUUCAGGGCUAAGCUCAUGGUGAAAGCAAGGUACAACUUCUCAGAUGAAACACUUUUGCAUCUCUUCUCUACAAAUAGAGGCCAGUAUAUGUUGUGCAGGUAUUAAGCAACUAUAAGAUUUAUACCAUGGUGGUGACAGGAAUUAAUUCCCAGAGACCUCAAGGAGAGCGAAAAGAACACAUUUUGUAACUGUCAAGUAUCAAGCAAUCUUUUUCCUAUAAAUGUAACUUUUUUGACUUUUCUGUCAGUUUCAGAAAAAAUAUCAGAUUAUUUGCAUAAGUUCAAAAUGCUAGUGCCGCGAUGUCUUAAAGGGUUUGAAUAGCUCUAAUGAGGAGAAAAGUUGUUCCAGUACUUCUGAGCAGAGCACGAUGAAAGGAUAUUGAGAGCAAAUGCAUUUCUCAAGCUAGUUUUGCAUACUCAUAAAUGUGACUAAUGCAAGAUACAGUAAAUAGAAUUAAUAUUGAGAAAUCAUUUGAAAAGGGUAUACAAAGCUCUACGGCUUUCAAAUACUGCAGUUGAAAUAAAGAUCAACACACAAAAGAUAGCA